rnacentral:rRNA from 1 species
GACGAACGCUGGCGGCACGCUUAACACAUGCAAGUCGAACGAAGUAUUAGGAGCUUGCUUUUAAUGCUUAGUGGCGGACGGGUGAGUAACACGUGAGGAACCUGGCCUUCAGAGAGGAAUACCGUUUGGAAACGAACGUUAAUACCUCAUAAUAUAUAUUUACUGCAUGGUAGAUAUAUCAAAGAUUUAUCGCUGAAGGAUGGCCUCGCGCCUGAUUAGCUAGUUGGUAAGGUAAUGGCUUACCAAGGCGACGAUCAGUAGCCGGACUGAGAGGUUGGACGGCCACAUUGGGACUGAGACACGGCCCAGACUCCUACGGGAGGCAGCAGUGGGGAAUAUUGCACAAUGGAGGAAACUCUGAUGCAGCGAUGCCGCGUGAGGGAAGAAGGUUUUAGGAUUGUAAACCUCUGUCUUCGGGGACGAUAAUGACGGUACCCGAGGAGGAAGCUCCGGCUAACUACGUGCCAGCCGCCGCAGUAAAAC